rnacentral:rRNA from 1 species
GCAAAACGCGAAGAACCUUACCAGGCCUUGACAUGCAGAGAACUUUCCAGAGAUGGAUUGGUGCCUUCGGGAACUCUGACACAGGUGCUGCAUGGCUGUCGUCAGCUCGUGUUGUGAAAUGUUGGGUUAAGUCCGCAACGAGCGCAACCCUUAUCCUUUGUUGCCAGCGGUUAGGCCGGGAACUCAAAGGAGACUGCCAGUGAUAAACUGGAGGAAGGUGGGGAUGACGUCAAGUCAUCAUGGCCCUUACGAGUAGGGCUACACACGUGCUACAAUGGCGCAUACAAAGAGAAGCGACCUCGCGAGAGCAAGCGGACCUCAUAAAGUGCGUCGUAGUCCGGAUUGGAGUCUGCAACUCGACUCCAUGAAGUCGGAAUCGCUAGUAAUCGUAGAUCAGAAUGCCGCGGUGAAUACGUUCCCGGGUCUUGUACACACCGGGUCUUGUAC